CAUGCAGGUCUUUUCUCUUCUAUUUUGCCUGGAAGGUUGGGUGGUCACUGGUUCAGUUAACAGAGUGUCUUUUGGUUCUCUGGAAUAAGGUCCUUCACACGGUCAAUGUAUAAAAUUGUAAAAGUCAAUAUUUGAAAUAAUGUAUAUUCCUAUUUGGUAAUUUGGCUUUUUUGUUGUGUGUUAGAACUCAUCACCAGACCAAAAGUCAUGGAGAGCUUUUGUUGUUUUCUCAAAUUGUAUAGUUUUUUAAAUGGAAUUCUGGUGUUAGUUGCAAAGUUUGUGCUUCUGUUCAUUUCAUUUUUUUUAAUAAACAGUUAUUUAUUUCUAGUUGAUUGAUCACUGCUUUACAAUAUCGGUUUGAUUUGUCAUACAUCCACGCGAACGAACCAUAGACGUACUUGUGUCCCCUCGCUCUGGAAACUCCCUCCCACAUCCCAUCCAUCCCCACCUCUCUAGGUUAUUACAGAGCCCCAGUUUGAGUUCCCUGAGUCCUAACAGCAAAUCCCACUGGUUGUCUACUUACAAAUGUUGGUGUACAUGCAUCCAUGUUGCUCUCUCCAUUCCCCACCCUGGUCCGUAAGUCUGUCCUCUAUGUCUGCAUCUCCGGUGCUGCUAUGUGAACAGAUUCGUCAGACCCAUCCUUCUCGAUUCCAUGUUUUCCUCUUUCUGACUGACUUGCCUGUUUAAUACGCUCUCGGUUCAUCCCCUUCCUUAGAGCGGACUCAAAUAUGUUCCUUUUUAUGGCUGCAUUCCAUCCAGGCUCUGACUGUUCCUUAGCCGUGUUUUGAGGAGGGUCAUGGAGCCAUUGUGCUCCAUUUCAGUUUGGGCUUCCAGUCUGAGUGCUCACAGCAGAGCUGCUUGUGGGUGAGCCCUCUGAGGUCUGUGAGCAUGGGGCUGCCCGCUCUUCCCUGGUGGGAGCUCUGUCUCCUCAGGACCCUCAGGACUCGGGCUCUGGGGUUAUGGGGCUGCAUCCCAGCUGAGAGGAGAGGGGUUGCCUCAGUGCCCGCCAGCAGGGAGACGCUGCAAGAGGGGAAAAUGAGGACGAAGUAGAUGUUUCCUGUGUCCAGCUGAGCGCUGACCGGAGGUCCAUCUCAGAGCACUCGGGGGGUGGGGGUGGGGGUGGGGAGAGCUCCAUGUACAAAUGGCAGGUUUUCAGUUCGAUUUCUGUUCGAUGGCCUAGAGGAUGACCUUCGCAGAUGUUCUUCUGAGUAGUUGGCCAGUUUUCCUGUCCCUGUUUCUUCAGAAGAGUGUCCUUUCCUCUUGGCUCAUUCGUUUGAUUUUCAUGAACUGACCAUGUCCAUGUGGGUUCACUCCUGGGCUCUCUCUUCUUUCCUGGAGUCCCUGUGUCUGUGUUCCUGCCAGUUCCUCACUGUGGUGGUUACUACAGGGCCGUGCUGUAGUUUGAAGUCGGAGAGGAAGAUAUCUCCAGCAGUGAUCUUCUUUCUCAGAGUCUUCUUGGCCCUUUAAGACCCAAGGCACAGUGGUUACUAAUAGACUUCCCACAGUACUUCUUCAUUCCAUGUGGACUCCUACAAGGACAGUGGAGCAUCACAGCUUCCCUUGAACUUCGCCUGGGAAUGCUAUGGAGAUGUACGUUGAUUUGGACAAACUUGAUGGACUUAGAGCAGACGGUGAAUAUGGGAUCUGUGUGGCCUUUUCUAUAUGGAUAUUUUUCGCUAAAGAUGGUUUUAAUGUUUAUUCAUGUUAUAAAAUGUGUGAAUCCUGCAUUCUUUUUUUUUCUCCAUAGUAAUUAAAAAUAAAUAACAUGCCAUUUACCAUUUA